rnacentral:antisense_RNA from 1 species
AGGUAACGUCUGUUUGGUACAAUCUGGUUCACAUCAUAAUGGUUCUUUUGCCAACAGGAGCUGGUAAUCAGGAUGGCAGUGAGGCAGGCACUUGCUUGCGGAAGAACAGGCCUAGUUUUUUAAGAAGCCACGAAAGUGUCUUUAGAUGAUUAGGAUCUAAGGGGCCAACAGCUUUGCAAUAACAGCAUAAAUAUUGUGGGCUGGAUGGACAGGCACCAAAUGGGGACAUUCCAUCCUGCUGUGUGAUGAGAAAGCUGCCACUUCUGAGGCCUUCCAAAACAAAUAAACACUCCAAAUGCCAGAAGGAAAAGCCCAGGAAAGACCUAUUCCAACUGGAGAUGGUGAAUGUCAUUUCUUCAAGAAGCUGAGAUCCAGCUGGUACUGCCAGGUGGAGAGUGAGUUGGGUAGCUGACCUCAGGCAUGGCAGCCUUAGUUUUUGGCCACUUCAUGGGGUGACCUGUUGAGCAAACAGCAGUGGAAUUCUGCAGCUGUGGACCAAGACGAAUAUGAAGGGAGAAUGAAACAAAACUGCUCCGCUCAGGGAACUUAGAAAUUGAAAAGGCAAGGCACAGGCUGGAAGAAAAUAUUUGAAAAAGAUUUAUGUGACAAAGAACUUCUUUCUGGAUUAUACAAAAUAUUUUUAGAUAUUCUUACAACUCUAAAAUAAGAUAACUCCUUAAAAAUGUGAAUUCUACCAAAGGAGAGAUAAAGAUGACAAAUACAGUCAAAGAUGCUGAAAAUCGCUUAUUUAUUAUUGGGAAGUUACAAGCUACAGCAUAAUGAGAUACCACUACAACCUACUAAACUGACUAAAAUUAAUCAGACUAACCAGGUGUUGGCAAGAAACAGGGACACUGAGACUCUCACACUGCUGGAAGGAAUGUAAAAUGCUAAAAUUUCUUUGGAAACGAGUUCAGUAACUUUUUAAACAGUUGAAAAUAGACCUAUCAUGCAAACCAGCAACCCCACUUCUAGGUAUUUAUCCAAGGAAAAUGACAACAUAUGCCCACACAAAGACUUGUGCACAAAUGACUGUAGCAGCUUUGUGGUAAUUGCUAAAAACUAGAAACUUGUCAAGUGUCCAACAGGUGAGUGGACAAACUCACUAUAGUAUAUCCAUACAAUUAAGUACUAAAUAGCAAUAAAAAGGAACUAUUAAUACAUUUGACAAUAUGGAUGUAAAUCAUAAUGCUAUGCUGAGAUAAAGAACCCAAAGAUUGAAUACAUAUGAUUCAAUUUCUAUAAACUGUUAGAAAAUGAAAA